AAAUCAUUUUCCAGAAACAAGGAUCCCCCAAGAGGAAUACAGUUUCUGCAAGGAGAGAGAAUAAACCUGAACCUCCAGCAUCUGUCUCUGGAUCAUGAGGCUGCCUGAUAAAAGAGCCUGCAUGAAGGAAAGCUGAAUGAAGAGGUGGAAAGAUUGAGGCAAAGUUCUGAUGACAUCAUCUGAGUGCCUAGAUCCAGCUGUGCCUGAAGGGGUUCAUUACAACUAAGAACCUACCGGGAGUUACUCUUCCCCUACAAGAUCCAGAAUGCCUUUUGGUUUCCUUUAAUGAAGCAGCAGCCUGACCAAGUCCUACCCACUGCUCUAAUACUGAGAUCUCCAGCUGCAGUGCACAAAAGGAAAGUGAACACAGGGAAAGCUGGGACUUUGUUGAGGGUCAUGGAGGAGUGGUUCCGCGGGAUGCCAGGGGUGUGGGAGCAGAGCCUUGGCAUUUGGAGCAGGUAGCCUGCAUGGUGAAAAGUGAUGGGAAUAGUGCUGCAUUCAGAUACAGGACGGACUGCAAUAGCAAAGAGACUCAAUGUGGUGGCUGAGAACCAAGUUUAUUUAUCUUACUCAAGGAUGGAGCAGGUGACCCAGCACUACAGCGGUGGCUUGAUGGCGGCAAGGAGCCAGGCUCUCCACCCUGUUACUCCACCUUCUCCUAGGGGAUUCCUUUGGUCCAGGUGGCUCCCUGACAUGAACAAUGCCUUCACAGUCCAGCAGGCAGGAAGGAGAAAAGAGUGAGGGAAGGCGCAACCACUCUUUUGAAGGACAUGGCCUGGAACUUACCCAGCUUCCUACCUUAACUGAGUGACAUGACCACAGUUAGCAAAGGAGGCUGGGAAAUGUAGUCUUAAUGCUACGUUGUCCUGUGACCAGCAAAAAUGCGGGGAUUUCAUUAUUAAAGGCAGAAAGAGAGAAUGUUUGGGGGACAACAAGGCAAUCAAAGGGAUAGAUUAGGAGGGACGGCCAUAUCGUCAUCCACACAGCAGAGGAAGACAGUGUUGGGCACAUAAGGGAGAGUGGAAAAUGUGAAGGCAGAAAUCACAGCUGAUGGCGGUGGGGACGAAGCCGCUGACCACUGAGGACCCUGUGAUCUGGAUGGUAAAGAGGGUAGUGUGAUAAGAGGCCAGCAAAGACAGGGACCUGGGGUUCACUGGGACGUUUUGCAGGGUGCUGCAGCAUGGUGGGCACACUGACUAUGUGGGAUUGUAGAAGAAAGUACGGUUUGGGGACUGGCACAUCAGCACCUCAGUGUCUUUUCUGGGAAAAUCUGGUUCUGUCUGGGAUUUUUCUCUGCUAUGUGAAUUCCUUGCUCAUUCAUUAUGGGGUCACUUCAUUGAUUUUCCACUCUUGUUUCUAUUUUUUUAUAUGACCUCUUCUCACUAAUCUCUACUGCCAAUUGUCUCAAUGUAACAGUAUUACCAAGAGGUACCAUUGGACUACGGACUUUCUGAGGUGUUUUAGUUGUGACCUUGACUUGGUUAAAAAGGAUGGGUGCAAUCACCUUCCAAAAUCUCCAAAUUUAUCAUCCUAAAACCUCCAUUUGGGUGGUUGAAAACUGCAAUAUAAAGUCAGACAGAUUUAAACUGGCAUGAAACAAUGUAGGGAAGGCAUAUCAGUACACUUAAAAAACACUUUUAUAGUUUUCAUCUCCAUCCUCAAUUUGAUAGCCCCAAGCUAAAAAUGAUUCUUAUAAACAUCUGCUUCUUGUGUUUAUUAUGGUUUUGGAUUUUUGUGCCAAGAAUAUGCAUGACAGGGCUGCCAUUCUUUUCAGCCAAAUGUAUCUGAACAUGUGUUUCUGCAUUCUCAUCUGUUUCUCUGUAGAGAAAACAUGCAUUGAACCAAUAGCAUGUCUGGAGCAGUAUCUUAUGAUUUCAACAGCUUCCCUCUGUGAUCC
rnacentral:lncRNA from 10 species